AUUGGGCGUUGAGAGCGGGAUCUAGAUCUGUCUACCAGACAAGCACAAAGCCAUUUCGAAACCGAGAAAUUAGGGUUUUGCCACUGUCAGAAGUGACUAGAAGAGAGCAAGAAAAAAUUAAGCCGGGAAUUUUCUUGCUAUCCUUUUAGUUUACCCUUCUCACUGUGGUGAAACCCUAAUUUGUGAACCCCGCUCGAGAAUUCACCUCCAUUGUUUCUUUUCGUUUGUUUUGUCGGGUCAUGGAGCUGUUGUUUGUGGGCAAAAUUUGGAAGACGGGAUGGCAACAACCAGGAAUGUAGUGCACCUAAUCAGAGGGGCAUCUAUGAUGCUUGCCGAGCUUGCAAUGGAGGCUGGUUUACCAGAUGGUGUGCUAAAUAUUGUUCAUGGAACUAAUGACAUUGUGAACCAUAUUUGUGAUGAUGAAGACAUCAAGGCCUACCAGAUGGUGUCCUAAAUAUUGUUCAUGGAACUACUGACAUUGUGAACCAUAUUUGUGUUGACGAAGACAUUAAGGCAAUAUCAUUUGUGGAUUCAAAUACAAGAAGUUUUAUCUUAUGAACUUCAAUUUGCAUUCUUAGUUUUAACUUAUGUAAUUGAUCUGUACAGUAAGCUUUUAACUAAUAAGCUUUGAUCUGUAGGAUUGAAUUAGUAUCAAUACUUCAUAUAGUUAAUCUUGUAAAUAUGGAUUAGCAUGUUGGAAUACACAUAUAUGUUUGGGCAGCAGCAAAAGGAAAACGUGUUCA